GGCAGCAACUGGUAUAUGUUAUAUGGCCACGCCGCCCACCACCAUCAAACCCAUAUACAAGAACCCCAUUCAAGCAAUAAAAGGAAUUAAGAGGCCCUGCUAUGAAGCCGGCGGCGGGGAUAGUAACCGCGCUCCUCUUCGCGACGGGUUCUAGAUACGCGAUGAUGCGAGGGUGAUAUGGUGGUCUAGCGGCGGUUUGAUGGCAGAAGGUGUGUGACGGCGGUUUGUUUUCUGAAUUAGGUUGAUUAAGUUUUAUGGGAAAU
rnacentral:lncRNA from 1 species